rnacentral:tRNA from 1 species
GCGGCGAUAGCUCAGCGAUAGAGCUCCCGCUUCUCGUGAGGGGAGACCCGAGUUCGAUUCUCGGCUGCUUCC